GACGAACCGUGCGAACGUUAUUCGGAAUCACUGGGCUUAAAGCGCGUGUAGGCGGAUCGGCACGUCGGCGCCUGAAAUCCCCCGGCUCAACCGGGGAACGUGGCCCGAAACGACCAGUCUGGAGGGACGUAGGGGGAGCUGGAACUUCCGGUGGAGCGGUGAAAUGCGUUGAGAUCGGAAGGAACGCCCGUGGCGAAAGCGAGCUCCUGGACGUCUGCUGACGCUGAGACGCGAAAGCUAGGGUAGCGAACGGG
rnacentral:rRNA from 1 species